rnacentral:ncRNA from 1 species
AGGCGCCUGCAGCAUGACAGUUAAGGCUCUCAUGCCCGCGCGCCGGAAUCUGGUCGCGCCGCUGGGUCACAAGCCCACCGACAAGCACACAACGGAAACCGCCGCCUCAGUGCGGGCCGAGUCCGGUGCAGCUUCCGCCCUGAUCGGCGAAAACCUUCGGGGUGUCAGCUUACAUAGCGCGACAGGCAC